AUCCAGCUGAUGAGUCCCAAAUAGGACGAAACGCGCGUUCUGGAC
rnacentral:hammerhead_ribozyme from 1 species